CUUCCCUCGAGCGCGGCUAGCCCUACGGGGCCUGCCGCCGCCCGGUGUUGGGGAUCUACGGGCGGCGGGGCCUUCGCGGCCCCGCCCCCGCAGUCCCCGAAAUGUAGUGGCGGUCUAGCCGCGGCGCCCCCUGCGUAGUAACUAUAACCUCGCAUCGGGACCCGGCGAAGGCCAGCCGUCGAACCCAAAUCUUUUGAUG
rnacentral:misc_RNA from 1 species